GUGCUGAAACGCACCCCUGAAGGAGGAUUUAGCAGUAAACAGGAAAUAGAGCGUCCCGCUGAAACUGGCCCUGAAGCGCGCACACACCGCCCGUCACUCUCCCCCAAAAACCCCUCCCCAACAAUUUAACUUAAAACCCAACACCCACUAAAGGGGAGGCAAGUCGUAACAUGGUAAGUGUACCGGAAGGUGCGCUUGGUCAAUC
rnacentral:rRNA from 1 species